rnacentral:rRNA from 1 species
GACGAACGCUGGCGGCGUGCUUAACACAUGCAAGUCGAACGGAAAGGCCCUGCUUUUGUGGGGUGCUCGAGUGGCGAACGGGUGAGUAACACGUGAGUAACCUGCCCUUGACUUUGGGAUAACUUCAGGAAACUGGGGCUAAUACCGGAUAGGAGCUCCUGCUCCAUGGUGGGGGUUGGAAAGUUUCGGCGGUUGGGGAUGGACUCGCGGCUUAUCCGCUUGUUUGUGGGGUAGUGGCUUACCAAGGCUUUGACGGGUAGCCGGCCUGAGAGGGUGGCCGGCCACAUUGGUACUAAGAGACGGCCCAGACUCCUACGGGAGGCAGCAGUGGGGAAUAUGGCACAAUGGGCGGAAGCGUGAUGCAGCAGCGCCGCGUGCGGGAUGACGGCCUUCGGGUGAUAAACCGCUUUCUCCGGUGACGAAGCGUGAGUGACGGUAAUGGGUAAAAAAGCACCGGCUAACUACGUG